CAUAUGAUACAAACAAUAUGUUUUGUUUUAGAUAAAUUUUAGUUUAACGAAUGAACGUUUGUUUGUUUGA
rnacentral:tRNA from 1 species